UCCUACAAAGUCAAAAGGGGUAGGCUCCCUG
rnacentral:piRNA from 1 species